rnacentral:rRNA from 1 species
AGCAGUGGGGAAUAUUGGACAAUGGGCGAAAGCCUGAUCCAGCCAUGCCGCGUGUGUGAAGAAGGUCUUCGGAUUGUAAAGCACUUUAAGUUGGGAGGAAGGGCAUUAACCUAAUACGUUAGUGUUUUGACGUUACCGACAGAAUAAGCACCGGCUAACUCUGUGCCAGCAGCCGCGGUAAUACAGAGGGUGCAAGCGUUAAUCGGAAUUACUGGGCGUAAAGCGCGCGUAGGUGGUUUGUUAAGUUGGAUGUGAAAUCCCCGGGCUCAACCUGGGAACUGCAUUCAAAACUGACUGACUAGAGUAUGGUAGAGGGUGGUGGAAUUUCCUGUGUAGCGGUGAAAUGCGUAGAUAUAGGAAGGAACACCAGUGGCGAAAGCGACCACCUGGACUAAUACUGACACUGAGG